rnacentral:rRNA from 1 species
AGAAUCAACGCUGGCGGCGUGCCUAACACAUGCAAGUCGAACGAGAAAGUGGAGCAAUCCAUGAGUAAAGUGGCGACCGGGUGAGUAACACGUGACUAACCUACCUUCGAGUGGGGGAUAACCUCGGGAAACCGGGGCUAAUACCGCAUAAUAUCCACGGAUCAAAGGAGCAAUUCGCUUGAAGAGGGGUCGCGGCUGAUUAGUUAGUUGGCGGGUAAUGGCCCACCAAGACAAUGAUCGGUA